rnacentral:rRNA from 1 species
CCUACGGGGGGCAGCAGUGAGGAAUAUUGGUCAAUGGCCGGAAGGCUGAACCAGCCAUGCCGCGUGAAGGUCAGUGCCCUUUGGGCGUUAAACUUCUUUUGUGCGGGAGCAAUAAUGGUCACGUGUGGCCAGACGAGAGUUCCGUACGAAUAAGCAUCGGCUAACUCCGUGCCAGCAGCCGCGGUAAUACGGGGGAUGCAAGCGUUAUCCGGAAUUAUUGGGUUUAAAGGGUGCGUUGGCUGUGAGGUAAGUCAGCGGUGAAAUGCCCCCGCUCAACGGGGUGAAUUGCCAUUGAUACUGCCUUGCUGGAGUGCGGAUGCGGUGGGAGGAAUUUGUGGUGUAGCGGUGAAAUGCAUAGAUAUCACACAGAACACCGAUUGCGAAGGCAGCUCACGAAUCCGCGACUGACGCUGAUGCACGAAAGCGUGGGUAUCAAACAGGAUUAGAUACCCGAGUAGUC